rnacentral:rRNA from 1 species
UACGUAGGUGGCAAGCGUUGUCCGGAUUUACUGGGCGUAAAGAGCGCGCAGGCGGUCAAGUAAGUCGAAUGUGAAAGCCCCCGGCUCAACUGGGGAGGGUCAUUCGAUACUGCUCGACUUGAAGGCAGGAGAGAGAAGCAGAAUUCCCGGUGUAGUGGUGAAAUGCGUAGAUAUCGGGAGGAACAUCUGUGGCGAAGGCGGCCAUCUGGACCAGCACUGACACUGAGGCACGAAAGCGUGGGGAGCAAACAGG